UCAAACUGGAGAUGGCGACCGGCGCACGGGUGAGUAACACGUAUCCAACCUGCCGAUAACUCGGGGAUAGCCUUUCGAAAGAAAGAUUAAUACCCGAUGGCAUAAUAGAACCGCAUGGUUUGAUUAUUAAAGAAUUUCGGUUAUCGAUGGGGAUGCGUUCCAUUAGGCAGUUGGUGGGGUAACGGCCCACCAAACCUUCGAUGGAUAGGGGUUCUGAGAGGAAGGUCCCCCACAUUGGAACUGAGACACGGUCCAAACUCUACGGGAGGCAGCAUG
rnacentral:rRNA from 1 species